AAUCAGCAGAAGGUGUAGCAAAAUUUCUGUUUGACACAUUUUGCAGGUAUGGGUGGCCAAAAGUGAUUCAAUCAGACCAAGGAAGAGAGUUUGUCAACGAAAUCAACACCCGACUUUUUCAGUUGACUGACAUACAGCACUGCGUAUCAAGUGCUUACCACCCACAAACAAAUGGCCUUGAUGAACGCUUCAACCAGACUCUAGUGAACACUCUCAAGAAGGUAAUCGAUUCUAGUACUGAUGACUGGGAUCAGCAUCUCUCUGCUGCUGUUUAUGCCUAUCGCAUAUCAAAACAGGCGUCAUCAAAGUACACACCCUUUUUCUUAAUGUUCAAUCGCCACCUGCGGAAAGCUGUUACUUUUGAUAUGGAUCAACAAGAUGGUGCCGACGCUAUAGAAGAUAGAGGAGAUGCUGACCAAUUGAGUGGAGAGGAGACUGAAAAUGAAGAAGACGGAGAAGACAUGGAUGGAAUUCUCCGAAGGUUGAUGGAAAUUCGUGAUCGCUGUCACCUCAAUGCCAAGGAGAACAUUGCUGCUGCAUGCACAGCAAAAACAGAAGCAGCAGUAUGACAACAAGCAUAACUCUUUGAAGAGUUAUCCAGUUGGCAGCAGUGUCAUGCUAAAGAAUAUGGCCAAUUCUCAUCGAAUGGGAGGGAAAGUGGACUGCACCUGGAAAGGUCCAUAUAACGCUUUCCCCAAGUACUGAGCUCCAGAUAGCACAAGUGUAUAGCCCAUUAAUUCAAUGCAAUGGGCUCUGUGGUGGCUCUCCAGCAGCAAGAGGGUGCUAACAACUGCGGACUAUUUAGCAUUGCUGCUGCAAUCACGCUGCUAUGAACGAUAAUGUGGAUUCUCUAGUGUUUGAUGAGGCCAAAAUGAGAGCACAUCUCAUUAAGUGCUUUGAGAAGGGAAAACUCUCACGGUUCCCUCGCACAAAGAAAGCGAUGCCCAAAAGACCAACACCACAAACCAUUGCCAUUACAAUAUACUGCAUGUGCAAGAGACCGGACUCUUUUGAGGAUAUGGUCAUGUGUGACAAAUUUAGUGAGUAGUAUCACUAUCGCUGUGCCAAAAUUCGCAAUGAACCAGUAGGUAAUUGGUUUUGUUCUGGUUGUAUCGAUUUGUGCACUUUUGGUUAUAUUUAU